rnacentral:rRNA from 1 species
CACCAGGUUGAUUCUGCCUGACGUGGAUGCUCGCCUCGGAGAUUAAGCCAUGCAUGCCCGUGAAGAAGGGAACGGCGAACGGCUCAGUAAUACUGCGACGAUCUGCUCCCCGCGGCAGAUAACCACGGGAAACUGUGGCUAAGAGCGGGGAUUGAGACGCAGUCCUAUCAGCUAGUUGGUGGUGUAAGGGACCACCAAGGCGACGACGGGUGACGGGAGAUAGGGGUCUGAUUCCGGAGAGGGAGCCUGAGAGAUGGCUCCCACGUCCAAGGACGGCAGCAGGCGCGGAAAUUGCCCACUCUUGGUGAGGAGGCAGUUACGAGGCGUGAAAGAAGGGCGCAGGCCAAAGGUCUGUGCGAAGGCGAUUGGAGGGCAAGUUCGGUGCCAGCAGCCGCGGUAAUACCGGCUCCAAGAGUGUCCAUGGUGGAUGCUGCAGUUAAAAAGUCUGUAGUUGUGCUGCGACUGCAGGGCGCGGGUCGAGCGCGCAGGCGUCGCAGGGGGUAGCGGAGCGGACAGGGGGCGCGGAAUAGGCGGGCGAGAGAUGAAAUGCCAGGACCCCGCCUGGACGAGCGGCGGCGAAGGCGGCGCUCCUGGACGCAUCUGGGGAUCAAGGACGAAGGCUGGAGGAUCGAAAGUGAUUAGAGACCGCUGUAGUUCCAGCAGUAAACGAUGCCGACACGGCGUGGCCGGGUGGCUGCGCAGGGGCGAAAGCGUAGUGUGCGGGCUCUGGGGAUAGUAUGCUCGCAAGUGUGAAAAUUGAAGAAAUU